rnacentral:lncRNA from 1 species
CACUAGUAUAUACACUACAAUAAAAACGGUCUACAGCGACACUUUUAAAUGUCGGUACAGAUCAAACAAAGUGCUGCUGGUUAAAUUACCGACACUUUUAAAAAGUGUUGCUAUAUGUGGGGUCGCUAGGUAUAUAGUGACAGUUAAAGAGUAUCGGUAUAACCUAAAAAGAGUGCCGCUAAUUUAUUAACACUUAUUUAAGUAUUUAGCAACCGCCGGAACUCUACCUCGUUCGCUGCGGUGGUGGAGGAUGAGGAGAGGGAAGGGCUCUUCGUCUAGGAUUUCAGUGGAUUGAGUGAGGGGAGAAGGGGAGAUGGUAAUCAAUUUUUCUUUUUUUUUUCUUUUCUGUUUGUAAUCGGACCGAAUGGAUUGGGUGGGGUGGAUUGAGUAGAGUAACUUUUUAUUUUUGGUUGAAUUGAGCUUUAUAUUUAGACAUUAGCAGAUUUUAUUUUUUAAGUUUUGACAUAAAUGGGAUAUUUACACAAAAGUGUCCCAAACAUGUGUCACUAUAACCUAAUUCUGUUGUAGUGAUAUUAAAUUAUUAAAAAUUGGUUAAUUUUGUUAAUUCGAUUUUUCUAGUUUUCAACUUAAAUUGAACUGAACCAAGUUAUAGAUUAAUUCAAAUUAGACCAACUAAAAUAAGUUGGUUUGGUUCAGUAAUUAGGUUUAAGCCAAACAAUGCCCACCCCUUCUACGUACCCUUGGUAAAAUGUAGGGUGGCAAUCCAGCUAGUUUGACUCGAAUUAAGAUCAACAUCGAAUCGUUCAUUUAGGAUACAUAUGCAUCUUGAACACGAGUUAAAAUUUUCAGCUCAUUUAAUAAACAAGCCGAGCACGAGUUGGGAUCAACUCAGUAGUGUUUGGCUCGAUAACAACUCGAAUAUAUAUAUAUAUAUAUAUAUAUAUAGAGCUAGGCUACUAUACUAUCUAUAAUACCGAGCACCGGUACUAUAGUGUUGGUUUUCGAUCUUAGGGCGUUCAAAUCAACGAUCCACACCGUUAAAACUGAUCUAGGGUGAGGGUAUAUUAAAAUUUCUAAGAGAAUAAAUUUUAUAUUUUUUCGACAUAGUUUUAUUUUAUGAUCAAACUAAUUUCAAAAUUGUCAAUUUUCAAUGGCUAUUAUGACGAGUUUGGAGUUUAACGGUGUAGAAUAAUCUAAAUUUUUUCAAAUUUGAUAGAAAAUACUUUAAACUAUUAACAUUAAGUUAACAUUCUUGAUCUUGAAUUUAAAGAUCCUAUGCUCAAAUUUUAAAAGAUUAUUCAAUUUCCACCGUCCAUAUUUCGAUAUAAUUUAUUUACUAAGUAAACGAUAUCGAACAGAAACUAAAAUUUAUUCCUAAGAAUUCAUGCAUCCACCGUCGCUCACCCGUCAUCACCGAACCCACAAAGUGAUGAUGGUGACCAGCCAACAAGGCUUAGCGACCACUCACAGAGCAACCAAACGACGUCGGAAGAAAUCCGAACCGAAACCGCGUUCUUUCGGCGAAUUUCGCCGAAAAACGCAUCGAAAUCGACUCUUCGAUUUCUGCAAAAGCUAACGGAUCAUGGACAAUCAGUCCAGAGGACACCACACAUGCCUACACACUGUCCACAGUAGCCCCAAGGCUCACAAUUGCGCAAAAGCCCCUGAAUUUACAUAAAAUCCUAAUAUUUUAUGUAAAUCGGGCGAUAACAUAGCCCGUACACGCAAACCGAGGACUUCUAAGUUCUGCUGAGACACAUACUGAUAGGUCUCGACGUACCGGAGGCCGUGCUCAUGGUCUGGAGCGCAACAGGUCACUGUGGGAAGCGCGGGAGCAACCCGAAGGUUCAGCGAACAGCACGCAGUCGGGGAAGAUUGCUCCAAACAGGGCUAGCCGGACACUGUUGAUCCAAAGUGAGGUGAGCACUGUGAUCGGAACUGACCCACGAUCACCGUGCUCACCUCCGGAGGCAUCAGGACAGCCUCGGAUCGCCGGAUAAGCGUGCGCAAAACCCAAAACAGCAGCCAAACAGGCUCGACAGGGUCGACACUGCCGAAACAGCGGAACGGAGUCCCCCCGGCAGAAUCUAAGGUGAGCACGAUGAUCAGAAAUUUUCUACGAUCAUCGUGCUCCCUUUCGCAGAGAUCGGGGAGGCUCAGGAAGCUCAGAACAGUAAACCAUCCCAAACUAAGACCUAUUUCAGGCUUGGCCGGAGCAAGGUUGCUCCGGCCGGCCUCCGGCGGCACGGCGGCGCGCGUGGGGGCCAGGGAUGGGUGCGGGGGAGGUGAGGAACACGAUGCUCACCUCCGUUGGCGGCGGGGUGCGGCGGCGGCGUCGGCGGAGCAAGGCAUGCCCGCACGAGCUAGGGCACGGGUCCGGGGGGUGUUGCGGCCACGGCGACGGCCGGGGCAGGUCGGGGACGACGGCGGCAGGUCCACAGAGGCCGGAGGAGAAGGAGGAGGAAAGCGGCGGGCGACAGCGGCGGCGGCCCGCGGCUCGGGCGUUGCCGCUCGAGCUAGGCUCGGUCUGCAGGCCUAGGCGGCGGCGCCCAAGGUUCAGGGCGGCGGCGGCGACCCGAAGGGCGGCGGCGACCGGCCGGGAAAGUCGGUGGGACACAGGAGAAGGCCGUGCGUGUGGACCAAGGCGGCUGCGGCGCUGGGGUGGAGUACCAAGUCUGCUCGGUCCGAGCAGACCUGGGAUGGCUGCAGGGUGGCCGCGGCGGCGGCGGCGGCCCGCAGGAGCGCCGGCGACCCGCCGGGGUGGUCGCCGAGGGUCCGGGGAUGGCGGUCGGAACGGGUGCAGGCGGUGGUUGCGCGCGGGGGAGGCCGCGAGUCAUCCUCGACCUAAGCUCGGCCUAGGCAGCAGCCGGGUGCAGCAGCGGCCGCGGCGGCGCUUGGCGACGGCGGCGGUCGGCGGGGAUGCUCGCCGGAGCACGGGGCGACACCGGCGGAGGGUCUGGAGGUGGCGGCAGUCUCGGGCUUCCUCACAACCCGAGAUAAGAGAGAGGGAGAGAGGGAUAGAGAUGGAGAGGGAGAGAAAGUGGAGAGGGAAGCCGGGGAGGUCCCUCCGGCGACCGCAGCGGCUUGCCGGCGGCCAAGGCGCGCGCAUGGGGUGGGCAGGGAGGAGGUCAAGCGGUUAGGAGGCUAGGGUUAUCUCGGAAUGGUGUAGGGUUAGGGUUUCACAUGAAAACCCUAACUCUUUUAGCCUUAUACUAGAGACAAAUUGCAAGUAAGUCCUCCAAAGCUCAAAAUUUCAUAAUGAGUCCUCCACAGCGCGUGUAAAACGCGAGAAUACCCCUCCAUGUACGAUCCCACGCAAAACGGCACAUAAAAUAUCGUAUCUUUUGCGAAAUUACAAUUUUGCCAACACCGACCUCUCUUCGAUCAACGUGCGAUCUCCGCAGAUCCGUCCAUCGGAUUUGCGAACGGAUCACACCAGUGCGAUCAGCACCUCGGAGACAACAAAGCUACACAUUCGAUUCAUCUCGAUCGACCACGGAUUCACAACAAAAUCCAACCUUCUUCCAAUAGAAGGAAACACACACACAAAUACAUAUGAAACAUGUAUUUUUGAAUUUUCUCGAAAUCCGUGCGCCAAACUCAAAAUCCAUCAGCGCCACUAGUUCCAGAACAGCUGAACCGGUCGAAACGAGCUAUUGGACUGAUAUGAACGGAGUCCGAUACGCACCAGAAGCCAACUCUACUCCGUGGCUUCUCCGGAAAACCGGAGUUACUAUUCACUUAAGUGAAAACUAAAAAUCGCGUAUCUUCUCCAUUUUAGCUCAGUUUCUCCUGAAACUUGACGAGUGCUUAUGUAAUUAAAUUACACACAUAAACAUCGUCAACGGAGAGUUUAGUUGCACUGUCAAAAAUCUCAGUCCUUACAUAGGGUAUUUAAAAUUUCUAGAAAUAAAAUUUUAUAUUUUUUCGACAUAGUUUAUUUUAUGAUCAAACUAUUUCAAAAUUGUCAAUUUUCAAUGGCUAUUAUGACGAGUUUGGAGUUUAACGGUGUAGAAUAAUCUAAAUUUUUUCAAAUUUUGAUAGAAAAUACUUUAAACUAUAUAAAUUAAGGUUAACAUUCUUGAUCUUGAAUUUAAAAGUCCUAUGCUCAAAUUUUAAAGAUUAUUCAAUUUCCACCGUCCAUUUUGAUAUAAUUUAUUUACUAAGUAAACGAUAUCGAAACAAACUAAAAUUUUAUUCCUAAGAAAUUCAUAUACCCUAGAUCAUAUUUAACGGUGUGGAUCGUUGAUUUGAACGCCCUAAGAUCGAAAACAAACACUAUAGUACCGGAGCUCAGUACUAUAGAUAGUAUAGGAGCCUAAUUCUAUAUAUAUAUAUAUAUAUAAUACAGAUUUUUAUUAUUUGAAUUUUUGCCCAAUCGAAAUAUGAAAUCCAACUCAAUUAUAAAAAAACACAUUUAUAUGUAAAAUUUUAAUAAUUAGAUUAAAAUCUAAUAGUAAGAUCUCAUAAAUUUAUUUUUUAUAUAUAUUAUCACUAAUUUUUUUAACUUAUUGUUUCUGAGCUAGCUCGUAUUCGGCUCGUUUAUUAACUUGUUGUUCGUGAGCAAGCUCGUGUUCGGCUUGUUAAUAAACGACCCAAGCAUGAGUUGAAUUUUUCGGUUUGAUGCGUUAACAAGCAAACUCGCGUUCGAUUUGAUUAUAAAACGAGCCGGUCCCAGCUCGCUCGUAUUCAACUUGUUGACAGCCCUAGUCAGAGGUCUAGUUGAGGGGAUUCAGUAGUGGGCUUAGAUGCUGGUUUUCCAAAGAAGAAAACGGAAUGCUCAAAUGCCAAGUCUCUUGUCACUAAAUUAGAGAACCAAGAAGAACCAUUCAAUGUUCUCUUGAAAUGGAUGGCUCGCAAAAGCUGGUCGGGUUCAAGAUUCGAUUUACUUUCACAAAUAUCAAAAUCAAAAUACUUCUAAACACCCAUGCCUUAUGAUUAUUAUUAUUAUUAUUUUGCUCAAAUAGCUUGUUAAGAAUAUUAGUCCCGUAUUUAAUUAAUACAUAAUAGAAUUCUAGAUUGUAAAUGAUAUGGGUGAUCUUUUCAUUUAUCAAUAAGUUUGUUGCUUGUGUUUUAACCCUUUAAUAAGAUAAUAUUAGAGUUUAGAGCACAAAGUUUAGUUCUUUGUGGUAUAUUAUUUUUUAAUUCAAUCAGUUCUAUUUCAACUUGUUUUAUUCGAUUUUUCUCUUCUACUUCAUAUAGUUCUUUCAAAAUGGUCAAUUUCCUCAACUACUUCAUAUAGUUAAGUACUCAAGUCGGUUCAUUUAAUUAUUUAUAAUAAUAUGCACCACAUGAUAGAGAGCCUAAUACAUAUCAGGCGUAUUAGAAAUAUUAGUACGGAUCGAAUACAAAUUAGGAUUCUGGCUCGCAUGCAUUGUAAUUUAGUUUAGAUUUUUAGUUUGGACCAGCUGGGCCUUUCAACAACACUAGAGAAUUCAAAUGUGUUAUAUUCCCACUAAAAAAAAAAAAAAAAAAAAAAAAAAAAAAAAAAAAAAAAACUUCAAUGGAGAGCUUCCUACGAUGUUUUAUUAAAGAAUCCUAAUUCAUCAUCACGUACCAUUUUUUUAUUUUCUUUCAAAGGUUGUAACCCUUUGCUAGCUAACUCUAGAGGUUAAUUUUAUUUUUCAAAUUGUAGUAUUAAAAUACAUCCAACGAACCAUUAGAUGGAAGCAAAAUUAACACAUGGCGACGGCUCGGGGACCGAUCUACUGCCACGUGUCAGUUUUGCCUCCAUCCAAAGUUUCGUUGAUUAUUUUUUUAAUACUAAAACCAAAAAAGAAUUUUUAAAAUUANAGUUUGGAUUUAUACCUUGGAAUAGUAUUUUGCCAAAAUGAUGGAAUAGUUUAUCCCAAAAUCUCCCCGGAUAAUUGAAAAUAGUAAGAUUUAAUAUGUAUAAUAUUAAUAAAGUUUGGAUUUAUACCUUGGAAUAGUAUUUUGCCAAAAUGAUGGAAUACUUUAUCCCAAGAUCUCCUCGGAUAAUUGAAAAUAGUAAGAUUAAUUCAGGAUACUUUAUAUUGGUCAAGAAUUAAUACUCCAUUUGACGAAUUAGGGAGGAUAACUUUUGUUUAUUCCGUUUUCUCCCGGAACCAAACAAGGCUACGUGGCGAAGGAUCCUACAUUCUCAAAAUGGACAAUUAGGGCAAGGGAACCUUUAUUCUAGCCUCUUGGUCUCACAAUACGUAGUUCAUUUGUAUUCAACAUCUGUUUGGUUGGAUGCAAUCAUAAUUACGUUGCAGUUAUAACUGCAAAAAAAUCUAAAUAUGAUUUUUUGUUAAAUCCAUUAAUCAAAUUCAAUCAGGGUAAUUGGAAUUCCACAAUGCUCUAUUGGAGCAGCUGGAACUUUGUCUAAAUUAACCAAAAUUCUAACUAUAAUAAUCGGAGAGAGUAAUUUCAUAGAAAAAGUGAGCUUAUCUACCUAAUUAAUCUUCUUCUAAAUAGAAGAUAUUUAUUCUCCAUAUUAGAGGUAACCUUACCAUCUCAUAUAAUUAUAAAAUUUGUAAAUACAGUUCUUAACUAUAUGCAACCAAAUAAGUUAUUUAUAGUUAGUGUUUUCUGCUACAUUCGAUCAAAGUCAAGUUGCAUUUAGCUCUAACUGCUGUAUUUCAACUGUAUUUAUUUUCAAAUUACACUAUAUUUAGAAUUACAUCCAACUGCCCCUAAGCUACUAAAUAUGUGACAAAACCUACAAUUAAGCCUAGAAAUGCAAUGGCUAAAAAAGCACAUAUUUUGUACGUUAGAAGGUCCAAAUAUUUUACAGCACUUCCAAUCUUUCCAUUUUAACUGCUAUAAAACGGCAGUUGUAGAGAAAAUUUAGUUUUUUAGGAGGCGUUUCUAAUCGCCUUCACACAUUAUGAUGUUUCGAAUUUUGGUUAAGUUAAGAAAGUGCAAAUUAGGUUAUGCUAGACAUGAUAAAAAUAGGUUUGGAGGAGUCUAGACUGAGUUUGGAUCGAAUUGAAACCAAUUCGGAUCGAACAGGUUCCGAAGAAGUGGAAACUGAAGUUCCAGACUUUUUGAAUGCCUGGUACCUGAGCCCGGGUGCCCAAAACCUAUUUUGGAUGGCCGAAUAGAGCAUCCGGAACUAUCGGACGCUUUACCUAAGAAUUGGGCUUACAUGAAGGAUAGCCUUCAGGCACCCAAGUAGCACUAUGGACCUUCGAAACCUUUCAUAUGCUACUUGCACUAUAACAAAUCUUGCACUUAAAGACACUUUAAAUAAUAACUAGCAACGCUUUAAAGUGUUGACAAGAAUAUUCCCGACGGUUGUAAAAUUGUCGAGCAAAGAGUCAAUUAGUAAAUACGUCGGGAUAAAUAUAUUGAUACUUUAAUUUAGCAUUGGAGAAUUUUUAUCAAUAUUUGAUAAAAAUAUAUUUAUUGACGAGACAUAAUCAAGUGUCAACACAUGCCAAAUAUUAAAGACACUACAAUAAAGCAUCGUCUAAAAAGUAUCGUCUAAAACAUAUUUGUUGUAUUGUUGAGGGAGUUCGAACCCUCUUUCGAACUCCAAACCUGAGAGCUUGAGUGCGUGAAGGAUUAAUCAAGGGUCCGAAUGUCCUUAAGGUGAUCUCUCCCAGGCAUCAUAAUGACUUUUGGACGCUCAACAGGAGAACACUGGUCUUGUGGUGCAAUAAACUAUUGAACAUCUGAUCUCCCCCGGAUGAGUGAAUUGCAGUACCAUGUGGACUGGGCGGGCGCCCGGAACCUUUUCCGUGAUAGCUAUUAAAUGGCACUAUGAAGCUUCAAGCUUUCAGGCCCCUGAAACCUAGCGUAGAAGCUGAGGUUUAUUUUCUUGCAAAUAAGAAAUGUUAGGGGGUUUAUAAGUUAUUGUAGCACUUCUACAAAAAGGUUUUUUCACAUCCAAACCCUAAUUCUCCCCUAUUUCUUCCUCCUUCACUCUUUCUUCUUUCUCUUAUGAAAAGAAAAGGAACCCUAAUUCCCCCGUUCUUGAAGCUUGAAAAUCCAUCUUCUUAGAGGCUUGGAGAGGGGAUCAAGGGCUUCAAGAGGAAGCAUUAGGAGAGAGACGGCACACACUCGACCCACGUUUUUCUUCGUAGAAGAUGAGAGGUGAUUUUAAAUUUUUAGGGUUUAUUUUGACAGUUUUUUUAUGAGGGAUUUCAUGGUUUUAACUUGGUUAAAACAUCUUGAUAGGGUCUUCUUGGUGAUCUAAAGAGAUAAAGGAAUCUCUUUGGAAGUAUUCAAGAGAACGUCAUGAAUAUCAUCGAAAUAGUUUGAUUUUUGGGUAAGCUUCAAAUACCCCCCUUAUGGUUUCACACUUUCUCACUUUAGUACUAUAUAGUUUAAAGUGUAUCAAGUUAGCCCCUAUGGUUUCACACUUUCUCACUUUAGUACCCUGUGUUUUAAAGUGUAUCAAGUUAGUACCCUGUGGUUUCAUUUUUCUCUUUUUAUUAUCCAUUUCACUAAUUUUUUUUUGUUAAAUCAGUGAUAAAGUUAAAAUUAAAGGGUACUAAAGUGAAUAUUCGAUUAACCUAGGUAGGAUAUCAUAAGUUUUUUUAUAUAUAAUUUAACGAAAUAUUAACGGAGGAAAAAAAAUCAAUGACAAAGUUAAAACUAAAGGGUACUAAAGUAAAUAUUCGAUAAACCUAGGUAGGAUAUCUGAAGUUUUUUGUUUAUAAUUUAACGAAAUAUUAACAGAGGAGCCGAUGAAAAGAGAAAAAUGAAACCGCAGGGUACUAAAUUGAUGUACUUUAAACCACAGGGUACUAAAGUGAGAAAGUGUGAAACCACAGGGUACUAAAUUGAUAGAUUUUAAACCACAAGGUACUAAAGUGAAAAGGUGCGAAACCACAAGUGUGGUAUUUGAAGUUUUCCCUUGAUUUUUCUUUGUUUAAAAUUUUCAUUGACUGCAAGUGUGUAUCAUGGGUAAUAAGUAAUAUAUUAGCAGUAUGCUAGGAGAUCUAAUAGAUCAAGAUAGAUGAGCAUUUGAUCUAGAAAAAAAUAAGGUUUUAAAACUUUGGAUGGUAAAGAAAAAUAUACAACAUGCAUGUAUGAUUAAUCAUUUAAACCUUGGAAAGGUGUGAAUGUAGUGAUAUAUGAACUUUAGGCAAAACUUGAAUUAGAAAACAAGAGAUAUAUAAAUAAACCUUUUGGAUAACUCUAAGGGUGCGUUUGGUUCGCACUAUGAAAGAUUACUAGCAAUAAAAAGAUGUCCGAGAAUCUUAAUCCUAUUCAUCAUAUUACUAAGAAUGUGGCAUUCCUGUGUUUGGUUCGCACGGUUAUAUUAUUUAGUUAUGUUAUUUAAGUUUACAAAAAAUAUACAAUUAAUUUAUUUAUUUUUUUAAUUAAUUUUAAAUAAUGCCACCAAAAAUUUCAACAUCUUUUUAGAAAAAGAGAGAGAGAGAACAUAGGUUAGAGAGAGAGAGCAUAAUUAAAGAAAUAAGAAGAGAAAUAGAGUCGAGAUUAGAGGGAGUGAGAGAGUUGAGAUUUUAGAAAAAGAGGGAGAGAGCUUAGCUUAGAGAGAGAAAAAGAGUUGAAGUUUAGAGAGAAAAAAAUAAGUUUAGAGAGAGAUAUGAGGUUAGAGUGUAAAGAANCAAGAGAUAUAUAAAUAAACCUUUUGGAUAACUCUAAAAGUCAUGAGAACUUAGGGUGUAAUUGUGAGACACAUUGAGACCUUCCCGAAGCAUCAUUUUAGGUGAUCUACUAUACUUGGUAAUGUCGAUUUCCUUCGAUGCCAAAUGCUUAUUGAUUGGAGGGAUGUCGAUAUCCUUCAACUCUCCAUGAGGCAUUUAACAAGAAGUGGAACCAAACCCAUGUAGACCUUUGACGAGUAAUUCAUUAUGGCAUAUUGUACAUAUGUUGAGGCAUGUAGCUGCAUCCUUCUUACUUGCAUUUCUAUUGUAAAAGUAGAUGUUUCUUUAUUAUCAUUAUUUACUAAUACCCCUUUUAGAUCGAGCAAGUGUAGAGUGCCACUUUCGAUAUUUGCACUCGUUAGAAACUUAUUUUAAAUUCUCAUCCCGUUGUUGUUUACAUCUCUUCAGAGAGCCUUCUAUAUAUUACCUGCGAGGCGUGAGAUCGCGACAAAAGCGUCACAACCUAGAUAGAUCGUGGUUAGUCAAUUUAGGGAAAAGUAUCCUUUCGUAUAAGCAAAAUAAUGUAAUAUUUUGGGAUGUCAAGUGUUGCAAACUUUAAAUAGGAUAAUUAUAAUAGUUUACUUUAGUAGCUUCAUUAUCUCAUGCUUUAUAUACCAUAGUAUAUAUGUGUGUAUAUAUAUAUAGUAGGACUACUGUACUAUUAGAAGCAUAGUAGCUAGCCUUUGUACUCCUAACCUCCUAACCAUUCAUCAAAUUUGAUGGGUGGUUAGGAUGAGAGGGAGAAAAAAAAUUGGUGAGAAAUUCAAAGAGAAGAGAAAUUAAGACACAUAAUUUCUCCUCAAUUUCUCUUCUCUUUCUCAUCCUAACCAUCCAUCAAAAUUGGUAGAUGGUUAAGAGGUUAGAAGCACAAGGGUUGCCCUGCUCCUAAUAGCACAGUAGCCCUGCUAUAUAUAUAUAUAUAUAUAUAUAGAGUCCGGCUACGGUACUUGUAAAAGCACAAAGCACUUAGUGCUUGUAAAUUUUUUACCGUUAGAUCUACACCUUUGAUCAUUUUUACCCGUUAGAUUAUACUAUUCAACCAAUCACCCACUCAACCUUAAGGGGCCCACAUCAUCCUAACCGCACAUCCCUUAAUCCAAGGGCCGAAAACUUAAAAAUACCAAUGACUUGGUACUUUUAAAAGCAUAGGAGUUCAAUUCUAUAUAUAUAUAUAUAUAGGUUGGUGUAUAUUUUUGCUUCAUAGAGGAAAAUCUUACCCGUUCGGUGAGUCUAUUGUAUGCAUCCAAGCAGGUCCAAUUGGUGGGACUCGAGGCAUGACAGGUAAGAGUGAUAUCAGGGUCCAAAAUAAUAUUUUUAGGCAGUUUUGGUGAACAUGAAGACUUAGGAUGACUCUGAGGAGUUAGAAAUGCGAGUAAGCAUGAACUUUAGGAAAAGAAAAGAAUUGAGUUUUGUGGUGUUCCUAAAUGAAAUGUUCGGGACCGAUCGAGUGAGAUAAUUCUUUCAUUCUUUGAAUAAUCACAUUGGGGGUCAACAACAUGAUGUUAGAAAUGAUAGGAAUUAGUGUCCCUUGAGGACUUCUGCUUAAUUGGAUCUAAUUUCUGGUCUAAGAGGAAGACUUGGAAUAAAAUGUUGUUGAUGUUGUGGUGUUGUCGGAUACCAAUGUCACCUCAUGGACGACCUAAGACGACGUCCGUGUUGACAUGACCUGAGACACCUGGGUGCUUCGGAUUGUAGCCGCCUAACUCUUUUCUUAACUAGGGUGUCGCCUAGGUUUUUUCCUAAACAGGGUGUUGGCAUUAAUUAUGAGCUGUCUGGGCCUCUUCCUAGUUAGGGUAGAGGAUUGAGUCAUAUUGUAUAAUAUUAUUUGUUAGUUGAUGCAUGAGUAAUACCUUGUGUACCAUAAUUGACACUAGGUAUAGAUAUCAGAUAUCUUGACAUAUGAUAGAUACCAUUGCUUGUCAAUUCACUAUAACAAUUCAUAAUUUAGUGACGUUUACUCUAUAGCAUUUAUUUAAAUCAUACUAAUUAAUAUAUUUAAUAGCAUUAUUUGAUAAUGGCCAAUAGAUUUAAUAAUUUAGUAGUAAUUUACAAUUAAUGUUAUAAAAUAGGAUAAAUUAGCAGUGUAAAUUAGUGAAUGUUGUUGAAGUUUUCAUCAUUUUAUAAAAAAUGAUACUAAAUGUGACAAAGUAGCAGUGCUUACUACUAAACGCCGCAGCAUUUACUCCGCGGUAUUUAUUUGAAUCAUGCUAAUUAAUAUAUUUAAUAGUGUUAUUUUGAUAACUGACGCUAGAUUUAAUAAUUUAGCAGCAAUUUAUUAUUAAUGUUGUAAAAUAGGAUAAAGUAGCAGCGUAAAUUAGUAAACGUUGCUGAAGUUUUUAGCAUUUCGACCUCCUCUUCACAGCUUCAUGCUGGGAAUUAUCGAAUGAACGAAAUAAGAGACUAUUCGAAGAUCAACUCAAGCAGCCUAGCUUUCGGAGCCAAAACAUUCUUUGCACGGUGCGAGAUCGUGGAAAGCCGCACUCGGGGACACGGACAGCAUCUAGGAGUGUGUGUUUUUUGGGGGUUUUUUUGGUUUUGAUUUUGGUUUGUGGUUUUUUUGUUUCUGGGUUCCUGCUCCAAGAUCUUGAUUGCGAACAACCCAUGCUGUCCUUGCCGUUCUAUUUUUUCGCCUUACUAGACUGCUCCUGUACUCUUUGUUCUGACUUUGUUAAAAUAGGGUAUACUCCUGUUUAAUUGAAAUAAAGGGCCGUUUGGUUGGAUGUAAUUAUAAAUGCAGUGUAGUUAAAAAUGCAUGCAAUUGAAAAUACAGCAAUUAUAAUUACACAUAGUUUAUUUGGUUUUGUGUAGAUGUAACAGUUGUAGUUGCAUUUCCUCUGUUUGGUAAUGUGAAGCUGAUGGUUGUAUUUGUGAAGCACGUCACCUCUUCAGAUAGUAUGGUGAGAUUAUCUUUACUAUAUAUAAAAUAAUUAUAUAAUUUUAUUAAUUAUUUAAAUUUACUAUCUAUAAAUAAAUAAGUGGUUAUAUGUAAUGUUUUUAUAUUUUUUAAUAAUUCUUCAACUUAUCAAUCGACACAUUUAAAAUUUUCAAAAUAUUUAAUUUUAAUAUGUAAAUCAAACUUUAAAAAUUUAAAUGAUUCUCUCAUUUUUAUCAAGUUUAAUAUUAUAAUAAUUAAAAUUAUUAAGUUAACAUACACAAUCAUGUUUUGCGAAUUGAGAAAAAAAAACUAAUUUUUUAUAUUUUUAUAAAACUAAUUUUAAAUGUUUUUAAUUUUUUACACAAGCUUGUAUUGCCUAAAAAAUUUAUUAGUAUGAAUUUAUUUAACAAGUAUUUUAUUUAUCCAUAUAUACUACAAGUAUAUAUAUAUAUAUAUAUAUAUAUUAUAUUAUAUAAUAAUUAUUUUAAUAUAUAAAUAUAUAUAUAUAUAUAUAUAUAUAUAUAUAUAUAUAAUAUAUAUAUAUAAAUUUAUUUAUUUAUUUAACUAUUUAUUUAUUAUUGUUAAUUUGUGGGUCAUCCUAUAUAUCGCUUACCAACUGCUGUAGUUGGAACUACAGCCAUUUGGAUAUAGUUCCAACUCAGCAUUUGGACUUUCUUGUGCAGAUGCAAUUGCAGCAGUUGGACUCAAUUGCACUAAACCAACACAAGAAUUGAGGUUUUACAUGAUUUGCAACUACCUUGCAAUUGCAAAUGUAAUGUAACCAAACGACGCUAAAUGUAACAAAGUUGCAGCUAGCGCUUAUUGCUAAAUGUCUCACUAAUCAAUAUAAUUAUUAAUAAUAAUCCUAUUUUAAUACUUAGAAUUAAAAAUUUUAAAAUUAAAUUUAAACAUUUAAAACUAUAAAUAAAAAGAUUAAACUUAUAAUUUAAAUUUAAAUUUUACAUUUUAAAUUGAAUUUCAAUUUUAAAUUUUAAAAUUUAAUAUUAAAAUUUUAAAUUUUAAAUUUUUUCUUAAAUUUAAAAUUUCAAAUUAAACUUGAUUUUGAAACUUAAAAUUUGAUAUUUGAAAAUUAAAUCUUAAAUUUAAUAUCUAAAUUUAGAAUUUUAAAAUUUAAAAUUUUAAACUUAAAAUUAAAAAUUUAAAAAUAUUAAAUAUAUAUAAGACUAUCCUUAAUGCAAAGUGGCAAAGGGCUUGACGGUUUGGUAUCUGAGGUCCCAAGUUCGAAUCCUAAUUGAUUCACAUUUUUAAAUAAAUUAUAAUUCAUAAAAGAAAUAAACGAAAGUGAGUAGCAUAGGGUUGUCAACGAAGUCGAACACGAGCGAGCUGGGGUCGCUCGUGUUGCGCUCGUUUCAUAAACGAGCCGAACACGAGUAAACGAGCCGAACACGAGCUGGCUCGUUAAAGUAUCGAGCAAAAAAUUCAGCUCGUGUUCGCUCGUAUUAUUAACGGAGCCGAACACGAGUCGAAUACGAGCUGGCUUAUGAAUAAAAUUUAAAAGGAUUAGAGAAAUAUUAUAAGGAAAUAAAAUUUAUAAGAUCUUAUCCGUUAUAUUUUGAUCUAAUGAUCAAAAUUUUACAUAUAAAUAAAUCAUUUAUAAUUGAGUUGGGCUUUAUAUUUAGGUUGGGCUAACAAUCGAGUAAUAAAAAUUUAUAUUUUAUAAUAUAUAAUUAUUAAUUUAAAUAUAUAAAUAUAAAAUAUAUAUAAUUCGACUGUUAUUGAGCGAACACGAGCGAGCUGAACCCAACUCGUGUUCGGCUCGUUUAUUAAACGAGUAAAAAAUUUCAGUUCGCGCUCGGCUUGUUACUAAACGAGCGAUUUCGAUCUCGAGCUCAUUCGAGCCCGAACACGAGCUGGCUCGUCGGAAUGAACAAGCCGGAUUGCCACCCCUACGAGUAGCAUGCUAACUUUCUCUUAAAAAAAAAAAAUCAAAUAUAAAUACAAAUUUAAAAAUCGAAUCUAAAAUAAAAUUAAAAUUUCAAAAUUUCAGUCUCCAAAAUCAGGUAUUUAUAUUAGUGGCAUUAUAUCCAUGCGCCACUAAUAAAUAAUUUAAAAUUAGCAUUUAACAACCAUUUUAGCGGCAUGUUUCUAAUAACACCACUUGAGUUACAUUGCCAGCAUUCAUUAUAAAUGCUACUAAUAUUUUUAGCAAUAUUGGCAUAAGCAGUAUUUGGUGUCAUAAGCUGUUAAAACUUUUAACGGCAUUCGUUAGUCUUUUAACAGCGUAAAUAAAGGCCAUUAAUGACUAAUUUUCUAAUAGUAUAUUAUUUACAUACCCUACAGCUUUACUAUUUUUCAGGAUCGUCGGGUAGGGUGGAGCAUGGUGUGGAGUGAGGACCAAUGAUAGUUAGCUCUUACUUGAGAUUGUGAUACAUGCAUGUUGAGGUUUCUACUGCCUCACCGAUGUUGCUAUUUUCAUAAUUUUAAUGAAUGAAGUGAGUAGCGUGCUAUCUUUUUCUAAAAAAAAAAAAGAAACUAGUGAUGCUAAAGUGGAUACUUAAUGUACUUAAUUGGAACCUUGUUUUCUGUAAACUCAUAAAUGUUAUUCGAAAGUUGAAAUUUCGUGGUCUCUACCUUUUGUGAAAAGUUCUUGUAUAGGUGCAUGCUUUCACUACAACAGAAUUAGGUUAUAGGGACACAUGUUUGGGACACUUUUGAGUAAGUGUCCCAAUUAUGCUAAAACUUAAAAAAAACAUCUACUAAUGCCUAAAUAAAAAACUCAAUCUAACCAAAAAUAAAAGAUUACUCUACUCAAUCCACCACACCCAGCCCAUUUGGCCCGAUUACAAACAGAAAAGAAAAAAAAAAGAAAAAUCUAUUACCAUCUUUUCUUCUCUUUUCACUCAAUCCACUGAAAUUCUAGACGAAGAGCCUUUCCUGUCGUUCUCCUCCGCCAGCGCAGCCAAAGAGAUAGAGUUUCGGCGGUUGUUAAAUGCUUAAAUAAGUGUUGGUAAAUUAGCAGCACUCUUUUAGGUUAUAGCGACACUCUUUAACUGUCACUAUAUACCUAGCGACCCCACAUAUAACAACAUUUUUUAAAAGUGUCGGUAAUUUUAGCUAACAGCACUUUUUUGACAUGUACCUACAUUUAAAAGUGUCGCUAUAGAUCGUUUUUGUUGUAGUGUUUGUGAUCCAAUGUGUGCAUGUAUAGAGAAAAACAUUUGUCCGUGUGGUAGGUCUACUCACAUGCACCCUCAGUUAACCUUCUGUGCGGGAGCACACAUGACAUCUUUCACAGCAAGAAGAGGUUUAGGAGAACCCCUCUAGUAAUUUUGUUUAGAAGUGAUUAUAAGACCUGUCUCUAUACAAUCACUUGUACAGGAUCGCUUUUUCUUGUGGUGAGAAUUCACUAAUAGAUUUGAUUUGAUUCAUGGGGAGAUUAGCAUGUUCACCUCUUGACCUGUUUGGAUUUUGGAGAAAGGAAUAUUCCAAUAACACUUGUAUUAUGAGAAUUAUCUUUUGUGAGUGGAAGCUAGCGGUUUGACCUUUGCUCCUUGAAAAUUCCGGACACUAAUAAUUUGCUUGGAUAAUAUAUAUAUUUCACUUAAGAGGUAACCUAUAUAUCUUAUUUCAAAAUAAAAUAAUUUGAAGCCGAAUUUGGUAUUUCGUUAUAAACAUUUGACCGCACUUCUCAACCACCAAAUACUAUAAGCUUUUGUAGUAAAUAAAAAUUAAAGGAUAUAUUAGACACGAAAUUCAUAUAUCCAACCAAUGCCAUUGUCGAUCCCACAUUCCGAAAUUUACUAAUCUAAUUCACAACUUGGCUUAUAGUUUAAUUUGGGAAGCAUUUUCCUAAUUUCCUCUUAAUUAAAAAGAUAUAGCGAGACAGUGGUGUCAAGGAAAUAAUUUCAUUCCUUGGUAGUUUCAGAAAGCAAGUCCCUUUUUAAUAAUUGUGGUUAACAAAUUAAUAUUUAUUUAAUAUAUUUAACGCGUGCGCGAGAAAGGGAAGAGGAGGGAGGAGUUCAGGAAAAGGAUCAACUUGAGCUGAGUGGAUGUUGCUGAGAGCAAAACAUGGAUGUUUAUUUGUCCACCACCUUUAUUAAUUUGGACCAUGUUGACCCUCUCCAAAGCCUCUUUUUAACUUUGUCAUGCCCAUAGAAGAGAGAGAAAUUAAGAAGUGAGAGAGAGAGAGAGAGAGAGAUAUGUCUAUAUAUACCAGUCCUAGGAUCUGAUGAGAGAGAGAGAGAGAGAGAGAGAGAGAGAGAGAGAGAGGGGUAGAGGUUUAAGCCUUUAAGGCAUGCAUGGGAAUCUACUUACAACUUUACAAGGUGGUGGCACGCCACCUGAGUCACUAUUAUCAUGAGGUCAGGAAGGAAUUUCACAGCUUUCUCUCUUUAUUUCCUUUCAUGCACCCUCCAAAAAUAUUAAUGGAAUUGAAGAGGUGAAUGGUGAUCACCUGCAUGCCCACCAUAGCAAGCAACAAUAAUACCCUACACAUAUACAUAUCAAAACUGACACAUUGAACUCUUCCUGGUUGAGACCCAAAAGAUUCAAUGCAAACAUUUUCAAGUUCCGUUGAGAUGAUCAAUGGUGCAUAAAAAAAAAAAAAAAACAAAAAAACAAAAAAAUCAUCAGUGUAAAUUAAUGCUCAAAACAAUAUUUCCAAGAUCAUCAAAUAAAAGACGUAUUAUUCGGCGGCAUGAACGGUGAAAUAGAUUUAAAAUAAUAAUAUAAUUGAGAUAAGAGGUUAGUGGGUGAGUUUGAGCCUUUAAUUUAAUAUUCUUUCCCUUAAAAGAGAAAUUAUUGCACGCUCCAUGGACCCAUGGUCUAUGUACUGAGCUCUCCAGAAUUUAAACCUAAUAUAACUUAAAAUCCAAAUGUAAAGUAAAAAAAAAAAUUCACACGAAAAUUAUAUUUUAUAAAGGUCUAUGAAUCGUGAGACAUAUUAAGAUUCAAUCUAAGUUCUGAAAAAAAUUGGAUUACCUUUGUAAAAAUCAACAAUGUUAAGUGAUGCUAUGUGGUGUGUUCAUAUUGGAUUUGGUUAAACCCAAUCAGUUUGGAUUCGACCUGAUAUGGUUUGUUCACAUUGAGAUCGGCUGGAUAUAUUUUAAAUAAGGAUAAGCAGAGUGAAAAGCUAGUGGAUAAGGUUGAAUUCAAAUUCAUAGGUAUUCAAAUAGACUUGAAUUUAAACUUAUCCAUCCGGCUCUAUAUAUCCCUCCUUAUUCGUAAAUAUAUAUGAAAAGAGGAAAUAAGGGAAUUUCUCCUUUCUUCUUCCCUUAUGUAGCACAUUCUUCUGUAACUCUUAGAACACCACCUUGACGUAGAAUAGGACUCUUAUAGCCCUCUUCUGGUAGCCCUCUUCACAUACUCUAAUAGCUCUCUUCACAUCCAUCUGCGACACGUGAAAGGAGAUUAGAUACAGUAAAAGAUUCAAAUCAAAAGCAAGGACGAUUCAAGAAGAUUUGUAAAACAAUCAAUCCAAUCCGGUUUUUAUUCUUGGAUACGUUGACAAUUUAGUUUGUAAGUUUUUAGUACUGUUUAUUUAUUCCAACAUUAAGAAAACUAUUUUUUAUUAUAUGAGAAAAAGACUAUAAAAAUAAAAAUAAUAUGAAUGAGACAUUUUAAAUCCAAUAGUUUACGUUUUGACUUCAAGUCUUUUAAGUUCGGAUGAAGUCUUCUGUAUAUGUAACAUGGACUGUACUUACAUUAAAAAAAAAAAAUCAUAUCCCAAAUAUUGUUAUGUAUCUUGAAAAGUAAACACAAACAAUAAUUUCCUUUUCCACCUUGUCAAUCUAGAGUUAUUGCAAUACCAUUAAUUCUGCCUUCACAUGCUAAUUACAUGCAUGGCAUAAUUGGAUUGAUCUGAUACAUCUAUGUAAGAUUAAUUUCCGUUACAUGCAAUAUUUUCUUGGAAGUGCUUUUGGAUUCUAAUGAAUAAAGGUUCUGUUGUGGGUCAUUAACCUUAACUCUUCCUUCCUCCAGAUGCUUACGUGACAUAAUCGGAUUUGGUCCGAUACAAUUCUUUGUAAAUAUAAUCUCUAUUGCAUGCAAUUAAUAGUUCCUUCGAAAUGCUUUGGACCUCAUGAAUAAAGAUUCACUACAACAAAACCGGUUUAUAGCGACACUUUUAAAUAUUGGUACAGAUCAAAAAAAGUGCUGUUAGCUAAAUUAUCGACACUAUUAAAAAGUGUUGCUAUAUAUGUGGGGUCACUAGGUAUAUAGUGACAGUUAAAGAGUGUCGCUAUAACCUAAAAAGAGUGCUGCUAAUUUAGCAACACUUAUUUAAGCAUUUAACAACCGCCGAAACUCUAUCUCGUUGGCUGCGGUAGCGAAGGAAGACGAGAGGGAAGAGCUCUUUGUCUAGGAUUUCAGUGAAUUGAGUAAGGGGAGAAGGGAAGAAGGAGAGAUGGUAAUCGAUUUUUUUUUUUCUUUUUUCUUUUCUGUUUGUAAUCGGGCCAAAUGGGCUGGGUGGAUGGGUUAAGUAGAGUAACAUUUUAUCUUUUGUUGGAUUCGGUUUUAUUUUUGGGCAUUAGUAGAUUUUUUUAAAAGUUUUGAUAUAAAUGGAACACUUAUACAAAAGUGUCCCAAACAUGUAUCCUUAUAAUUUAAUUCUGUUGUAGUGAUUCUUCAGAGCGUUGUUGAGGUUGUAGAUGUGUUGUUAAAUU